rnacentral:rRNA from 1 species
UACGGAGGAUCCGAGCGUUAUCCGGAAUCACUGGGCGUAAAGGGAGCGUAGGUGGUAAGAAAAGUCAGAUGUGAAAGUUUGCGGCUCAACCGUAAAAUUGCAUUUGAAACUUUCUUACUAGAGUAUCGGAGAGGAAAGCGGAAUUCCUGGUGUAGCGGUGAAAUGCGCAGAUAUCAGGAAGAACACCAAUGGCGAAGGCAGCUUUCUGGAAGAUAACUGACACCGAGGCUCGAAAGCAUGGGGAGCAAAC